rnacentral:rRNA from 1 species
GUUUCGUUUGAGCGGCAUGUGCACGCCCUGAUCAUUAUCCAUCUCACACACCUGUGCACACACUGUAGGUCGGCUUUUGAUUGGAGUGGGGUCUUCAUCGACUCUGCUUUUUAGUUGGGGCCUUCCUAUGUUUUAUCACACACUACUUCAGUUUAAAGAAUGUCCUCUUGCGUCUAACGCAUUUAAAUACAACUUUCAGCAACGGAUCUCUUGGCUCUCGCAUCGAUGAAGAACGCAGCGAAAUGCGAUAAGUAAUGUGAAUUGCAGAAUUCAGUGAAUCAUCGAAUCUUUGAACGCACCUUGCGCUCCUUGGUAUUCCGAGGAGCAUGCCUGUUUGAGUGUCAUGGAAUUCUCAACUCUAUUUGCUUUUGUGAAUAGAGCUUGGACUUGGAGGUUUAUUGCCGGUACCUGUGAUCGGCUCCGCUUGAAUGCAUUAGCUCAAACCUUUUGUGGAUCACCUUAUCCGUGUGAUAAAAUGUCUACGCCGUUACUGUGAAGCAUAUGAUUCGGCUUCCAAGUCGUCCUUCACGGGACAAUAACUUUGACCUUUGACCUCAAAUCAGGUAGGAUUACCCGCUGAACUUAAGCAGAUCAAUAAGCGGAGGAA